GUAUGAUGUAUCAUAUCUGCUUUAGCUAUUCAUAUGUAUUAUAUCUGCUUUAGAUAUUCAAUAUAAAAUCUAAAUUACAAAAAAAGGUUCUGACUAGUCUAAUCAAAAAAGGCAAGAAGGAUAAAUAACCCAUAAAGCCCAACAUCACAAGGGCAGAAAAAAAACAAGAACAUUGCUUUAAAGGGACAUGCAUUAGUUGACAGUUCUGUUUUUAAACCAGCAAACACCUUUAACCCCUUAGUGACCAGACCACUUUUAAAUUUUCUUACCAUUUGGGACCAGGACUGUUUUUACAUUUCUGCUGUGUUUGUGUUUAGCUGUAAUAGUCCUCUUACACAUUUACUGUACCCACACAUAUUACAUACCAUUUUUCUCGCCAUUAAAUAGUCUUUCUAAAGCUAUCAUUAUUUUCAUCAUAUCAUAUAAUUUACUAGAAAACAAAUAAUUAUAAAAUUAUGAUACCUGUCAGGAAUCCCUGAAUAACCCUUCACAUGUAUAUAUUUUUUAAAAGAAGACAAACUUCGGCACUCCAGAUGUUGUGAACUACAUACCCCAUAAUACUCUUACACCCAUAAUGCUGGCAAAGCAUCAUGGGAGGUGUGGUCCAAAACAUCUGCAGUAUCGAAGGUUGCCUAUGCCCGACCUAAGGUAUUAAACUUGGGGUACUUUUCAUGUAGCCAUUUUAUCACCAAUCUAUGCCAAAAAAUGUUACAAAAUAAUAAUUUGUGAUUUUUUUUGACACACAUAGCAAUUUAAGAAUACAUGUAUAGAGAUUUUUAAGAUUUACUGCCACAGAACACCCCAAUAUGUGUUCAACAACAUCUCCUGAGUACAGUGAUACCCUCUAUGUAUAGGUGUGUCGGGUUCUCUGGGGGCUAAAAAAAGACCUCAUUUGGAUUGUGCGCAUUCCAGUUUUCCAAAUUGGAAUUUUCACAGCUGGUCAUCAUGCACCCAUGUCCUAUUUGGGACAUUUUUGAAGCUGGUCAAUGUCAUUUACCCCCAUCAAACCAUAUAUUUUUGAAAAGUAGACACCCCAAAUGGUGGUAUUUUAACACUUUCCAUGCACUAAUUCUACCACCAGUCUUUGUCAAACUUUUGGGUAGUCAUUUUUUGUGUUAUUUUUCUCUCACAUUGUAC